rnacentral:misc_RNA from 1 species
GAAUGGAUUUCAUCCAGUUAGCAAGCAAGUCAAAGUGGAAGGAUUAGUUGAGGAGGAGGAGGUAUAUCCUUGGGCCAUGGAGAAUUCCUUUGGAACGUCUAAUGGAAAUGGGCUAUUGGGCAAUGGCCCUACAACUACAAGACACAGUUCUUAUUAUCCCAGCAAUAAGGUUUCGAUACCUUGGCUUGCUUGCUAACUGGAUGAAAUCCAUUC